rnacentral:rRNA from 1 species
AUGAACGCUAGCGGCAGGCCUAACACAUGCAAGUCGAGGGGCAGCGAGUGUAGCAAUACAUGUCGGCGACCGGCGCACGGGUGAGUAACGCGUAUGCAACCUACCUUUAACUGGAGAAUAGCUCCCUGAAAAGGGAAUUAAUGCUCCAUAACAUUAUCUGAGGGCAUCUGAGGAUAAUUAAAGCUCCGGCGGUUAAAGAUGGGCAUGCGUGCCAUUAGCUAGUUGGUAGGGUAACGGCCUACCAAGGCUACGAUGGCUAGGGGGUCUGAGAGGAUGAUCCCCCACACUGGAACUGAGACACGGUCCAGACUCCUACGGGAGGCAGCAGUGAGGAAUAUUGGUCAAUGGGGGCAACCCUGAACCAGCCAUGCCGCGUGAAGGAUGAAAGCCUUAUGGGUUGUAAACUUCUUUUGUAUGAGGCGAACAGUUUCUAUGCGUAGAGACCUGACAGUACCAUACGAAUAAGCAUCGGCUAACUCCGU